rnacentral:misc_RNA from 1 species
AUUGUUAUAACGUGUUUUAGCUAUUAAGCACUAAUGUGAGGCGGGGAAUGCAGAUAAAUAGGAUGGUUAUCAUAGAGGUAAUACCAGCUUAUUUUUAGGCGAAUAAUAAAAAACCCAAGACGAAUAAAUCGCUUGGGUUUUUUGAUAUUUAA